GACGAGGGGCCUAGCGUUGUUCGGAAUCAUUGGGCGUAAAGCGUGUGUAGGCUGCCAUUCAAGUCAGUUGUGAAAUCCCCGGGCUUACCCGGGAAGUGCUUCUGAUACUGUUUUGGCUUGAGUACUGGAGAGGAUAGUAGAAUUCCUGGUGUAGUGGUGAAAUGCGUAGAUAUCGGGAGGAACACCCGUGGCGAAGGCGGCCGAGCUGGGAUACACCUGACGCUGAGACACGAAGGCGUGGGGAGCGAACGG
rnacentral:rRNA from 1 species